GGGACCGUGGGUUAGCCUGGUAUACUCGCAGCCUUGGGUGCUGCUGACCGCGGUUCAAAUCCGCGCGGUCCCA
rnacentral:tRNA from 1 species